rnacentral:lncRNA from 1 species
AUGACAGUGUGUUAUCAGAGGACUGAGACCAGAUGGGGGGGUGUAAUAGGUGGUGACAUGACAGUGUGUUAUCAGAGGACUGAGACCAGAUGGGGGGUGUAAUAGGUGGUGACAUGACAGUGUGUUAUCAGAGGACUGAGACCAGAUGGGGGGUGAAAUAGGUGGUGACAUGACAGUGUGUUAUCAGAGGACUGAGACCAGAUGGGGGGGUGUAAUAGGUGGUGACAUGACAGUGUGUUAUCAGAGGACUGAGACCAGAUGGGGGGUGUAAUAGGUGGUGACAUGACAGUGUGUUAUCAGAGGACUGAGACCAGAUGGGGGGUGUAAUAGGUGGUGACAUGACAGUGUGUUAUCAGAGGACUGAGACCAGAUGGGGGGCUGUAAUAGGUGGUGACAUGACAGUGUGUUAUCAGAGGACUGAGACC